rnacentral:rRNA from 1 species
GAGUUUGAUCCUGGCUCAGAAUCAACGCUGGCGGCGCGCCUAACACAUGCAAGUCGAACGAGAAAGGGGAGCAAUCCCUGAGUACAGUGGCGUACGGGUGAGUAACACGUGGGUAAUCUGCCUCUUAGCGGGGAAUAACCCGGCGAAAGCUGGGCUAAUACCGCAUAAGCCCGAGAGGGGAAACGCGAAAGCGGCUGAGAGAGGAGCCCGCGGCCGAUUAGCUAGUUGGUAGGGUAAAGGCCUACCAAGGCAAAGAUCGGUAGCCGGCCUGAGAGGGCACACGGCCACACUGGCACUGAAACACGGGCCAGACUCCUACGGGAGGCAGCAGUGGGGAAUCUUGCACAAUGGGGGAAACCCUGAUGCAGCGACGCCGCGUGAGCGAUGAAGCCCUUCGGGGUGUAAAGCUCUUUCGGCAGGGAAGAUGAUGACGGUACCUGCAGAAGCAGCUGCGGCUAACUACGUGCCAGCAGCCGCGGUAAUACGUAGGCAGCAAGCGUUGUUCGGAGUUACUGGGCGUAAAGGGUGUGUAGGCGGUUUGGUAAGUCUGGUGUGAAAUCUCCCGGCUCAACUGGGAGGGUGCGCCGGAAACUGCCGGACUCGAGUGCGGGAGAGGAGAGUGGAAUUCCUGGUGUAGCGGUGAAAUGCGUAGAUAUCAGGAGGAACACCGGUGGUGUAGACGGCUCUCUGGACCGUAACUGACGCUGAGACACGAAAGCGUGGGUAGCAAACAGGAUUAGAUACCCUGGUAGUCCACGCCCUAAACGAUGCACAUUUGGUGUGGGUCAUUCAGUUGAUCCGUGCCGGAGCUAACGCGUUAAAUGUGCCGCCUGGGGAGUACAGUCGCAAGGCUGAACUCAAGGAAUUGACGGGGGCCCGCACAAGCGGUGGAGCAUGUGGUUCAUUCGACGCACGCGAGAACCUUACCUGGGCUCGAACAGCUGGUCAACGGCGGUGGAAACAUCGCUACCCCGCAAGGGGGUCCAGCCGAGAUGCUGCAA